rnacentral:misc_RNA from 1 species
AAGAAUCACUGCGUAAUAACAGGAUAGUGACUGAAAAUAAAAGCAAAUGUAUCACUACUCAACAUUUGAAAACUUGUCCUCUGCAAAGUGCCCAAAAUCAUAUAAUGGAAAAUGAGAUGACAAAAACAUCCACACUGACAACAGAAGAUUCCAUUCUAAAUUACCUAAAUGCUAGAGAAGUAGCCAAGAAAACACAAUAGCUGGAUAUGGGCUAUAUAUAAUAUAAUCCUUGAAAAAUCCCUACUUCUUCUUUCCUCCCUUAGCAGCAUCACUAGCCUUUGUCUUCUUUACUCCGCGAACUUUCUUGGCCCUGUUCUUUCUCUCCUUCAGUUGCUUCCUUGACUUCUCUACUUUAGUGUCAAGUCCAUUCUGCACAAAAAGAAGAAACACUUGAAAGGCAAACAAAAUAACAUUCUAGAGACCAAUCACAACCCAAGAAAUAUAAGAAAGCAUGCAUUCAAUAUGCAUACGAGGAGCAGGCGAGGACAAGAACAAUUACCAAGUCACUUUUAACCGUCAGAUGAACAAUGAAUUAGAUAUAUUGAAAAAUUAUAGAACUUAGAAACACAAUUUUAUUAAGAGACCAAAUGUCAACAAAACAGUGUACACCCAUCAAAUGCACUAAUAACCACAAUCCAAAUUAAAUGAUUAUUUCUAUUUUGAAUGUUGUACACAUUUACGUAUAAGCUCUAUUAUCACCCAAAAAUUAAAUAUUUUUAUUAAAAUAAAAAGGAAAAAGCAAAUGACUGUGAAUCAGAUAAUGUCAACCUCCAUAAUCUAUAAAGGUUUCAGACAAAAUAAGCUAGUUUAGCAGUGAGGUGAACAAAGGCCAAGGCACCAAAAAUGUAGGUAGAAGUGAAAUCUUGGUAAUUUAGCUCUCACAUAGUGCCACUUUGGACCCUUGGAGUUCUUGCCAAUAUUAAUAAAUCAGUCAUCGAUUGGGUUAGAUAGCUUUUUCACACCUUGUGCCAUUGUAAAAUACAAUAGCAUAAAAAAGAAAGUUAACCAAACAAAAUCUGAGACUAAUAAUGAAAGUUUCUAUCCUGAAGAGAAUUAAAUAUGAAAACCUACCCUGAUGAGUCUGUACUUGGGCUCGUACUUCUUUGCAUUCUCAACUGAAUCAUAAAUCAGCCCAAACCCAGUGGAUUUCCCACCUCCAAAAUGAGUCCUGAACUUAAACACAAAAAUUGUAUUGGGAUCCUUCACCUCAUACAAGCUUGCUAGCUUCUCCUUCAGUUCCACCUUGGAAACAUUGGGCCUUCCAGGGUGAAGAACAUCAAUUAUCUGCAUUAAUCAAUAGAAAAAAAAAAUUAAAAUCUACAUACACACCCAGGAUGAAAGCAAAAUGUGAACAAGAAUAUGACAUCAUCAUAAUCCUCUAUCUGCAAAAGCUCAUAAGCGUCAGAGUUCUCGUAAGCAACAGAGUUCUCAUACGCUAAACUAUCAUCAUCAGGAAAAAUAAAUACAUAAAUAAAUAAACAUAGCAUUAGGUCACUAGCAGCCAUCAAAGGUUCAAUUGAUCAAACGUCAAGAAUGAAGAAUUCCAAGAAGAAAAAGUUAAACAAGUCACUGAUUAACAAAUUGAGGAAGAAUAUAAAAUAUUGCCUCAGAGAUCUUGGUGGAUAGGAAUCCUCAAGUGGGUUGUUCAAAACCCAUCAAGAGUAGCAAAUAUUUUCUCACAUCACUGGCCCUGCAGCAAAUAUUGGACCUAAACAAUCUAAUGCAAAACAAAGGGAUACGAAUAAAUAAUUAGACCUGAGCCCCAUUAAAAUACCAGUCUAGAACCCCGUGAAUUAUCAGAUAAAAUGAUUUUAACACAAUUACACAUUAUCAUCAUUUGAAAUCCCACCUAAGACGUGACAAUCAUUUGAGCUUUAACAUCAAUAGCAAUCUUUCUCUACCGAGUAAACUAAAAAAUACAAUAACAAUGGCAAAAUAUGCAAGAUAAUUGAUAUUCAUAAAAGACAAAAUCUUAAAAUCAAUUUCUCCUUUCAUUAUUAGUUUAGGACCUAUAACCCAAUAGAGCCAUAAAACUGAGUAACUGUGCUAAAAGGACGCUAGGCCACUAAGAAAGUGAAGAAAAUUGGCCUGAAAAUUUGAUGCGAGAAAGGAAAAAAUAAGGCUUACAAAUUGCUUCCUGGAUAGGAGCCGGUUGGUCAUGAACUUCCUGGUACGAAUAGUAACCGCCUUGUCCGCCAUGGUUUCAGCGAGAGAAGAUAGCUAAAACCUAGAAGGUAUUUCUCGAGGCAGAGAGGUCAAGUAACAGAGGCAGCAGCAAGCUCAA